rnacentral:rRNA from 1 species
AUUGAACGCUGGCGGCAUGCCUUACACAUGCAAGUCGAACGGUAACGGGCCUUCGGGUGCCGACGAGUGGCGAACGGGUGAGUAAUGCAUCGGAACGUACCUUUCAGUGGGGGAUAACGUAGCGAAAGUUACGCUAAUACCGCAUAUUCUGUGAGCAGGAAAGCAGGGGAUCGCAAGACCUUGCGCUGAUUGAGCGGCCGAUGUCAGAUUAGCUAGUUGGUGAGGUAAAGGCUCACCAAGGCGACGAUCCGUAGCGGGUCUGAGAGGAUGAUCCGCCACACUGGGACUGAGACACGGCCCAGACUCCUACGGAGGCAGCAGUGGGGAAUUUUGGACAAUGGGCGGAAGCCUGAUCCAGCCAUGCCGCGUGAGUGAAGAAGGCC